rnacentral:sRNA from 1 species
ACGUACCGCAAGUACGUUCCGGUUGCUGCGCUCCGUCCGCCUCGCCUGAAGGCCGCUCGCUACGCCUUUGAGUG